AAUCAUGACUUGAAGGAAAUUUUACUUCACAAUUUAACGCCUUGAAAUUGGGCCUCGGUCUCUUUAAGAAACUCUUGCUCUUUCCGAGACUCCGCCUUCAGGGCGUCGUGACGACCUUUCUACACUGACCCUUUAACGCUGGUUUUACCACAGUUUCAAGCAGCAGUGCCGUUCCACCAGGUGUUUGCUAACAGCUGCUGCCACUAGUCUGGAGGAGCUGAGCUCGGUAAGCUAAAGUCACAAAAUAAAUUCAGAAAAAUUAUCACAAUGACGCAAAAUUUAAUCUUGCAGGAUUUCUUCUUCCCUGAUCCCAGUGUUAAUGUUGAGAAGAGGAACCCGCAGCCUUUAACUGACGGGCUUGAGGAUUUAGCAGAACUAGAGUGGAUUGUUGCACACAAUUAGUCUGAGAAAAAAUUGACAACCUUAUUUGCAUUUUUCCAUGGUAACCAGUGUUUUUGCACUCAGAAUUUCCUAAAUGUCAUUUUCUGCUUAUUGAAUAUUAAAUACAUGUCUGUGUUUCCUCUCAGAUAAAGAACGAUCCCAGAGUGAUUACUAAAGUAUUAUUAAUCAUCCUCGUACGCCACAAAACCCCUGACGGAUUUCCGUGUCCUGCCGAGAUUUUCCCUGAGAGGUCGGGUCCAUUCAGAAGAACUUGAGAGAGCUGCAGGUUUCUAAUCAUUUUUGCAAGGAAUUUAGGCAGAUUAGACAACAUUAGACUUGAUGCCACUGGUUCAAACAACGGACUCCGCGCUGACUGCACUGCAACAGAGAGGUAGAGCCUGCAGGCAGCGAUUAAAACGGCUCAUGCAUAAAGAUAAUCAUUUUUUUCUACGUAUUGCAGGGUAAGAUGCUUUGCUGCAGUGAUAUUUGCAGAUCUCUAAACAAGAGGAGCGACGAACGACGGAGAAGGUUCUCCAUCACUCUGGAUGAGCAAAACACGGGUCAGCAACGGCAGCGAGAAAACGUGAACGUUUAAGAGGAGCCAUGUUGAGAUGACUGCCUGAAGGCGGAGCUUCAGAAGGAGCAGCAGCUCCUUAAAGAGACAGAGGCCCAAUUUCAAGGUGUUACAUUUCAACGUCAAAUUUCUUUUAAGUUAUUUUUGAUACGUGACGUAAAAGUUACCUGCAGUUUGUCUAAAAACUGAAGGUAAACUCAGUAACUUUAUUGUGCUGUAAGAUGAUUCUGUGUGGCUGGAAAACACAUUUUCCCUUUCAAGAGCUCCAUCCUCACGUCUUCCUGUCUCAAGUUUCACACAGACGAUUCUGAGGCUCCUCUGGCGGAUUCCCCAAAGCGCUGACGUUAUUGAAUGUGAAGUGCAAUGCGGAAGUCCAUUCAGUCCGAAGCAUCGGAGCCGAAGACUUUUGGCUUGAAGCUGUUAUUAUUUUAGCUCCAGUGUUGUUGCUGGAAGGUGACUCAUCUCCCCCGGCAACCGGCUGGUGCAGUCGGGAGCACAAGCACCAAUCCGGCCUGCAGGGACCUCUGCUGUUUCCUCCCGACCCGCUUUCAUCCAUUAAUGACGACGUUAAUCCCUGUUGUGUUUGUGACACAAAUCAUCCAAAGUUAAAGCCAGUUAUUUUGGACCAGUGGUGUCCUGAGUGCAGCCCGGGGGCCGUUUGCAGCUGCAAUUUGAGAAGGUUAUAAAUUUGGAGUUGAUGAAAGAUGGUGGAAAAAAUGUUCAUUUAGAUGAACACGCUUGGCUAAUUAUUAGGUUAGGUUUGUUUGUUUGUUUUAUUUUUAGACUGAACAGUUAACCUGGUGAAAGAAAAUUGUUCCAAUAUGUGUCCAACAUGGGAUUUUCAUUAAUAAUUAUAUUAAUUAAAGGAAUUAUUGCAUAAUUAGUACAUAAUUAAAGGUAUCAUAUACGUUUUAUUGCAUAUUGUGACAUUCUGUGACUCAGUUCCAGCAGAUGUCUGCUAAUUGCUGCUGGCUAGUCCAGGGAGGAUCUUCGUCCUCGAAGGCGGAGCCAAGUCCACCCAGGCAUUUUGCACAGCUGAAUGGUUGCCAUGGAGAUUGAAGGAUUUCUCAAAGAUGCAUGAGAGAAUCAACGCAACAAUCCAGCUGAACUUCGCCAGCAGCUCGGAUUGCACCGCGCCAUCGGCCCGCUUCCUCCAUGCAGCCCAAAGCUGAACGGCUCUUGCCGGCUAUAAAGACGCUGCAGGGCGCGACCAAAACCAACGCCACCAAACCCAGGGGCUUCCUGUAGGGGACGUCUGGAGCGCCGCCACUUUCAGCUCAUUUUCUCCCUGGAAGCUGCUGGAUGAUCGUCGUUUCGCUGCAUCAGCAGCUUUGGAGCUGUCAGGUGUGAGGACAUCAGCUAGACAUGUUUUCAUUUUAAUGAUUAGGGAAGCAGCAAAAACGCACGAUGACAAAUUCCUGUAAAUGUUUAUGUUUGAUUGUUACCCGUUGUUUUCACACGUUAAAAAUCUCCAAAAAUGCAACGUAACUGGAGCAUUUUCAAUUCAAACCGUUUUUUUUUUUUUUUUUUUACAAAUCUGCAGCAUGUGAAUUUUACAGCAUGAAAAAGUCUAGCU